CAUGGGGGUGGAAGGGGCUCAGCCUGGAUUGUGAGAGGGCACAGGCCAGGCCGAGGGACCCUACCGGUGCACA
rnacentral:pre_miRNA from 1 species